UUGUCCAGCUUGAUUGAUCAUCACAUCUCGCCGCCAGCAGUAUGGGUCGAACGUGUACUUUGUUACUCGCUGCAGUGCUCUGUGUUGUGGUCUUUGGGAUAGGAGCGCAAGCACAGACGGGAGGAUCAUUGGGAAAUCUGAUAUUUCCUCCCAACCAGUGCACCAACAGCAUAUGGUGUUUUGUUUGCCGUGCCUUUUUUUCGGGGACCUGCAGAUCCACCAGUUGCCCGUUUUUUUCUCGACCUAUUGCCAAUUUUCUGAGUUCUAAUAACCAAGUGACAUGCAGAUGCUGUAGAUCCUUCAGCUUUCCCCUGGCGGCUGCUACCACGACUGGAUAGAUAAAGAGAAGCAAAGAAAUCAACAGGAACAAGAUCAUGCCUCCAAUUUGAAGGUCACGCUUACGUAUGGAAUAACCGAAACCAAAUGCUUCACUAGUUAUACUGUUAGACAAAAUACUGUAUAUGCUUCGUUUUGCGAUUGUGAGAACAAGAAGAUGUACCCAUUGCUUCUCUUUUUAGAUAAUGUAUUUGAUCAUGAAUCCAACUGUUAU